rnacentral:lncRNA from 1 species
AUGCUUAGUAACACAAGUGCACCCAAACAAAUACUCUUGAAACAUCAAAAGUUCCUCUUUAGGGGAGAGGCAUGUGAAUCACAAAGUGAGUUGCGAUUGAUUGAUAAGUUGUAAUCCUUUUCCAUCGUGACCUAAGGUGAGUCUCUCACAAUACUUCUCCUUUUUCACAUGUUUUAGGGUGAAAAUACAUGCAAAUGCUUUUAUAAAUGACGAAUCACUUUGAUUUGUGUUAUAUUACUAAAUUAUCUAACAUAUAUGGGUAUAGUCGGUACCAUAACCAUAUGAAAGUUGGAUUCAACACAUGAUUGGUCCCGAAAGGUUGUGUGUGUGACUGUAUAUGCUGUCAUACAUUCAAGUGUGCUGAUGAUCGCUCUAUGGGAUUUUAUUUGACUUGUGUUUAUGAUAUUUAUAAUACACUGACAUCGCAAAACUUUUAUAUGUGUCAGUUUGUUGUGAACUUACUGCCUUUAUGUUGCGUGUGUUUUUAGUAGUAUUACAUAAUAACAAUUGAGGUAUGAUCUUAGGAACAGUGCCGCUUUUGUUUUUAAUGGUUUUUAUCUUAUUGCAAAUUUAUUUUAAUUGUUUUUUAGUUAAUUUAGUUAAAGUGGUUUAUAUAGUCUUCAAGUUUUGUCCUUUUUUUCUUUAGGUUAAAGCUUUUUCUGUCUAAAUUCAAGUUUGUCUAUGUUUUAUUCCAACUCGCAACAAACUCGAAUUUUGUACAGAAAAGGCUUUAUAUUUGUCUACAUUUUACGGUGCGGAACGGUAUAAAUUCACGUGGCAGUAUAGAUUAAUUUUUUUUGUUAUAUAUUUCUCAAUUUUGACCUUCGUUUGCUUAUACUUAGCAUGGUUUUACGACUCACGUGCCCGCAACGCGGGUUUUAAAGACUAGUUUUCAUAAAAUUAUAAGAGUUGUAGUGGUCACAUUAAUGGUCUUUAGGAGGCUUGGUUAAGUGGUGUAAGUGAAGUGAGAGAGUUUUUGUAUUCCCAUUUUGUUAUUUCACUUUUAGGAUUUAUAAAUAUCUCGUGUGUUAAAAGACAUCAUUAUGUUAAUGACGAAUGAUGUAUUGAA